GGAGUGAGGCCUGGUAAGGCCUUGCCGGCCUUGGGAGAUGGAGGCUGCUGGUGAUCGUUCCAGAGUGACUUUCUGUUGUCCUAAGGAGAGUAGUUCAUUCUGGCCUACAGGACCUCACCAGAUGGAAGUAUCAUUGAGCACAUGCAUGGAACACGCUGUGGUAUUGAUUUUAAAAUCUCGUCUCAGGGCCAGGAAUUUUACAACUGAAAUCCUGAAAGACAACCUUCAAGAAAAAAACAUUUAAAUAGGAAGGAGAUGAGAGGAGAUGGACUGCAAAUGCCUGAGCUGUGAAGAAAGCUGAGCUCAUGCACUGCUGGAAAUGAGAGAAAAAGAAGCUUUAUAUUUGCACAACUCAAGAGUAAAACUUCAGCACCACUUUGCAACUGCUUAGACAUGAAAACCAAUCAGCUGCCCUUAGGAAGCAGGGUUCAUUAUACCCAGCUCUUAGAGAACAUUAAUUCUCUCUAUGUGGGAUUUACUGCCUCCACCUCUACUAAUGGAUAAAACAGGUCAAGUCUUUUUCUCUGUUCAAAAUGGACAACCUGCACAGAUCUCAUUCAUACAAUUAAAAUUUCUUCCCUCACAAGUUGUGCCUGAGCUCAUAUCAUGUAAUGGGACUACCUCGUGCUCAGGAACUUUUGGGAGUGUUGGAUUUUUUGCAUCAAAGUUGCAUCAGGAACCAUGUCAAUGACUUAACAGAAUAUGGUAGCAGCUGUGCUGUGUCCUUGGCCUGCAUACUGGUAUUUAAAUUAUACCACUGUGUCAUCCCAGCUUUAGUUAUCUAAACAUAAUUCUCACCUAUAUCAGUUCUAUCCCUUCUAUAUUAGAA